rnacentral:rRNA from 1 species
GAAAUGAAUCUCAGUUCCUYCUUGACCUCCCUCCCCGGACRCAACUUUAACCUUUAUGUAGAAGGUCAAGAGUAAUUUAAAGGAGGUACAGCUCCUUUAAAAAAGGAUACAACCUUCACUAGCGGCUAUACCACCUAACUUCUUCCCAUUACUGUAGGCCUUCAAGCAGCCAUCAAUAAAGAGUGCGUCAAAGCUCUACGCAUAAAAUCCAACAAUAACAUGAUUCCCUUCCCACUAACAGGCCAACCUAUCCCAAUAGGAGUAUUAAUGCUAAAAUGAGUAACUAGGGGUUCACCCUCCACAAGCGCAAGCUUACAUCCUCGUAUUAUUAACAGAUAACAAACCAAUACCUCAAUUAUAACAAGACUACCAUAUUAAACCCACCCUGUUACACCAACCAAGGAGCGCCCACUAGAAAGAUUAAAAUCUGUAAAAGGAACUAGGCAAACCUAAGGCCCGACUGUUUACCAAAAACAUAGCCUUCAGCCCACCAAGUAUUGAAGGUGAUGCCUGCCCAGUGACAUAACGUUCAACGGCCGCGGUAUCCUAACCGUGCGAAGGUAGCGCAAUCAAUUGUCCCAUAAAUCGAGACUUGUAUGAAUGGCUAAACGAGGUCUUAACUGUCUCUUACAGAUAAUCAGUGAAAUUGAUCUUCCUGUGCAAAAGCAGGAAUACUAACAUAAGACGAGAAGACCCUGUGGAACUUAAAAAUCAGCGGCCACUACACACAAACUCAAACCUACUAGGCCUCCUUCCUCCCCAAAUACUGGCCCGCAUUUUUCGGUUGGGGCGACCUUGGAGAAAAACAGAUCCUCCAAAAAUAAGACCAUACCUCUUAACCAAGAACAACUCCUCAACGUACUAACAGUAACCAGACCCAAUACAAUUGAUUAAUGGACCAAGCUACCCCAGGGAUAACAGCGCAAUCUCCUCUAAGAGCCCGCAUCGACGAGGAGGUUUACGACCUCGAUGUUGGAUCAGGACAUCCUAAUGGUGCAGCCGCUA